rnacentral:rRNA from 1 species
GAGUUUGAUCCUGGCUCAGGAUGAACGCUGGCGGCGUGCCUAAUACAUGCAAGUCGAGCGAACGGACGAGAAGCUUGCUUCUCUGAUGUUAGCGGCGGACGGGUGAGUAACACGUGGAUAACCUACCUAUAAGACUGGGAUAACUUCGGGAAACCGGAGCUAAUACCGGAUAAUAUUUUGAACCGCAUGGUUCAAAAGUAAAAGACGGUCUUGCUGUCACUUAUAGAUGGAUCCGCGCUGCAUUAGCUAGUUGGUAAGGUAACGGCUUACCAAGGCAACGAUGCAUAGCUGACCUGAGAGGGUGAUCGGCCACACUGGAACUGAGACACGGUCCAGACUCCUACGGGAGGCAGCAGUAGGGAAUCUUCCGCAAUGGGCGAAAGCCUGACGGAGCAACGCCGCGUGAGUGAUGAAGGCUUCGGAUCGUAAAACUCUGUUAUUAGGGAAGACAUAUGUGUAAGUAACUGUGCACAUCUUGACGGUACCUAUCAGAAAGCCA